rnacentral:rRNA from 1 species
UACGGAGGAUGCGAGCGUUAUCCGGAUUCAUUGGGUUUAAAGGGUGCGUAGGCGGAAGUAUAAGUCAGGGGUGAAAGUUUGUGGCUCAACCAUAAAAUUGCCCUUGAUACUGUAUUUCUUGAGUACAUUUGAGGUAGGCGGAAUGUGUUGUGUAGCGGUGAAAUGCUUAGAUAUAACACAGAACACCGAUUGCGAAGGCAGCUUACUAAACUGUUACUGACGCUGAUGCACGAAAGCGUGGGGAUCGAACAGG